AGCGGACUGCGCGGCCGCGGCGCAUUUUUGUGCGACGAGGAAAGUCCGGGCAUCGCAGGGCAGGACGCCUGAUAACGUCAGGUGAAGGCGACUUCAAGGAAAGUGCAACAGAAAUAGACCGCCGUUUUUCGGCAAGGGUGGAAAGGCGAGGUAAGAGCUCACCGACGGGACGGUAACGCCCCGUGCCAUGUAAACCCCGUCCGAUGCAAGGUUGGGCUGCGUUCACACGGGUUGCCCGCCCGAACGCAGCCGUGAAUACCGCUUGAGCUUAUCGGUGACGGUAAGCGUAGAUAAAUGACCGCGCUCGACAGAACCCGGCUUACAGGUCCGCC
rnacentral:RNase_P_RNA from 1 species